AAGCUUCAGGUGCCUAGCAAUGGGCAAAACUAGGAAAACAAAGACUUUGCCCACAAGGUAACCUUUCUUCCCCUAGCAUAUUGCUGUUCCUGUGGUUUAGACCCCCUGACCUUUCAUAUCACCAGUCAUCCACACAGACCUUCCCUG